rnacentral:rRNA from 1 species
CCUACGUGAGGCUGCAGUAGGGAAUAUUGCUCAAUGGGGGAAACCCUGAAGCAGCAACGCCGCGUGGAGGCUGAAGGUUUUCGGAUUGUAAACUCCUUUUGUUAGAGAAGAUAAUGACGGUAUCUAACGAAUAAGCACCGGCUAACUCCGUGCCAGCAGCCGCGGUAAUACGGAGGGUGCAAGCGUUACUCGGAAUCACGGGGCGUAAAAAGCGCGUCGGCGGGAUUGCAAGUCAGAUGUGAAAUCCUAUAGCUGAACCAUAGAACUGCAUUUGAAACUGUUAUUCUAGAGUAUGGGAGAGGUAGGUGGAAUGCUUGGUGUAGGGGUAAAAUCCGUAGAGAUCAAGAGGAAUACUCAUUGCGAAGGCGACCUGCUAGAACAUAACUGACGCUGAUGUGCGAAAGCGUGGGGAGCAAACAGGAUUAGAUACCCGAGUAGUC